CCUACGGGGUGCUGCAGUGGGGAAUAUUGGACAAUGGGCGAAAGCCUGAUCCAGCCAUGCCGCGUGUGUGAAGAAGGCCUUCGGGUUGUAAAGCACUUUCAGUGGGGAAGAAAGCCUUGGGGCUAAUACCCUCGAGGAAGGACAUCACCCACAGAAGAAGCACCGGCUAACUCCGUGCCAGCAGCCGCGGUAAUACGGAGGGUGCGAGCGUUAAUCGGAAUUACUGGGCGUAAAGCGCGCGUAGGCGGUCUGAUAAGCCGGUUGUGAAAGCCCCGGGCUCAACCUGGGAACGGCAUCCGGAACUGUCAGGCUAGAGUGCAGGAGAGGAAGGUAGAAUUCCCGGUGUAGCGGUGAAAUGCGUAGAGAUCGGGAGGAAUACCAGUGGCGAUGGCGGCCUUCUGGACUGACACUGACGCUGAGGUGCGAAAGCGUGGGUAGCAAACAGGAUUAGAUACCCUAGUAGUC
rnacentral:rRNA from 1 species